AUACAGCCAGGUGAAGGCAUUAACACUCGCUGAGCCACUUCUGGAAUCACACUUCAUGAACCGCAAUACUCUUCAAAUGUUGGAUUGUGUGCUUUCAGUUCUGCCGCCCCAAGACUGUACAAUAAAUUCCCUCCUGACAUUAGAAGAACAAAGGAUCUCUCCAAAUUUAAGAAAGAACUAAAAACUUUCCUGUUCUCUGACUGCUACGACGUGGAAACAUUGACAAUUAACAUGGCAUAUAAGUUGUGAUCAAUAUUGAAAAUUUAAUGAAUUAAAAUAUGUGGGUCCUGCAGAGCACUUCGGUGGAAGUGGGACCAGAUAAAUAAGAAACACAAGUAACAAGUAAGUAAUGAUUCUCUAAUGUUUGUUAGUUGGUUAGUGUCAUUCUCAAGUAGCCAAUAAUCUUCUUUGCUGAGGACACGUCUAAGUCGUUGUGGAGAAAUAAGCUUGCAUCGCUCUAGAAUUGGAAGCAGUGAUGGGAUUCAGCCGGUUCGCAAGAACCUGUUCUUGGAAUUUCUUUACUCCCAAGAACUGGUUGUACAUGUUAGCUUAAAUCAGGGGUUCUCAUUUUUUCACCCCAUGAACACCUUAUACUUAUAACUUAUUUUGGUAAACCCCUCAUAGAUCUGUUACUGGCUUUUGAAAGUCGAAAACACGACUAAAACCAGAUUUGAUGUCGGGUGGAGCCAAACACGGGUUCAAGACAAAUGUGGCAUCACCGAUUCGAACGAGAGCGCUGUUACAAAGGCUACACCGACAGCAACUGCUGCCAGAACCAACUGUCAUCCGCCUCACCUGUGUCUUCCUGAAGAAUACAGGCCAGCUGUCAUGCCUGUGAUAACCUCACAGGACUUCCCCAGGGCUCACAAUGAUCUUCAGACCACUGUAGCUGAGGGACCAUUAAGAAACAUGAUUCCACGCUGCUACUGGGUUAACUCCAUGACUGCGGGUUUCCUACAAGAAGACAUCACCAGCUACAGGAAUGGAACAAAAAGUAGCUGCUACAAUUUAAUGAAGAAAAAUGUAAAGCCCUGCACCAUGGGAGGGGAUAUUCAGCAUACCAACACCACAUGGGAAACACUUCACUAUCCACCGCAGAGGCAGAGAGAGACCUGGGAGUGUAUGUUACCAGGCUACCAGUGAAGGCCAAACCCAUGCCAAUUGCAGUGGACGGGUCAACAAAACAUUAAGUCGGUAGGGUAUGUCAUUGGGUAUAUACAUUUUGAACAAGGUAUUAAAUGUAACAGUGUUGAGCAUGCAUGAAUUUGUUGGUGAGGCAUCCUGGUGGCAGAAACCACAGACAAUGGUCCUUGCUAGAUGCAGGGGCUGGCACACUGAUCAGGUUAUUGACCUAAAAGCUGGGACCUUACAUUAUCUUCUAUAUGGAAAGAAGUUUCCCAGGCAAGGAAAUAAAUCAAUGGUCAAAUUAAUGUAUUUAGAGUGCCUUUUAUUUACAUAACAAGUGUAAGUCAUGAACUAUGAAGAAUAUUCAGAGUUAGCAGUUUAACAAAGAAGUAAAAAGAAAGGAGGAGAUCAAUAAUAACCUUCAGCUUUUCAUAUACAUGCCUUAAAUUAUAGUAAAUUGAGUAUCACAAAUUGCAUGAUUCACAUGCACACUCCACUGAGGUGCUGUCCACCACGUCCCAAGCCAACCUGGCAGGAUGACACACAGGCGGGGCACAGCAGCACAUUUACAUUAAUGACUCGCAUAAAAAAAGAAACAAGGAUGCUUUUGAAUGGUCAAUGUGAAUUAAACUU